GCCCACCUUGAGCCUCGAGAAAUCCUUAAAACUGCCGUCUCGCCUUCCGUGAUAAAUAACGGUUUUGUUGUCCUUGGUUUUGCGAAAACCACAGUCCCUUGGAAAGAAAAAGGGACCAUCUUGGAUAGAUUUAUAAAAAAAAAGAAGUAAAAACACCACCAGCAAUCUGCUAGCACACCACCUCCCCCACCCCAGCCCUUGUGAUGAACGCUCGCCAAGCGCUCCGCGGCAGCUAGUGAUUACACAGCGUUUCAAAGCAGUGAAUAAUGUUAGUGUGGAUAGGAGGAGCGCUGGCACAGCACAUUAACCUGGUCUACGAGUCGCCAACAUGUGUCAGCGCAGGCAGCUUGUUUUUAACACCGUCUCUUUUAUCGGCAACCUGUGUUGCCGAACCACCGAACAGGUUUUUUAUCCAGAGUGCAACAUCCAUGUGUCAGGAGCCCGCAGACAAAGAUCUAACUGUAUUGCAAUGAGGACGCCUUCCACAUCAUCUUUAUUUGGCAGUAAGUGUGUUGCACUAAAGCCUCUUGUUUCAUGCUAUAAGGCUGAUUUCACAUAGUCGGACGCGAGUCCUUUAGCCGGGACCACAGAACACACAGCCAUCUAAAUCCGGUCCGGUGUUUUGUGUAAAUUGAAAAUGGGAUACAGUAAACAGACUUUGUACAGUCGUGUGCGGAGGCUGCAGCGCCAACAAAAAGCAGAGAAAUCGAAUUUUGGUCCUCAACCGCAAUUUCCCUUUUUAGAUGACAAAGUCUGAAGCAAACCUUUGCCAAUGUUCUCACCCCUGUCGGUUUGUUUGUUUGUCAGCAGGAUUACGCCAAAAACUACUGAACAGAUUUCCAGUAAACUUGGAGGAAGGAUGGGACGUGGGCCAAGAAGUUUUUGACGCACAGAUCUGGACAAAGGGGCACUUACUUUGACUUUGCCAGAAGAGAGCUUUUUUAACAUUUUCAACAAUUUCCCAGGGACUAAUACUAAUAAUAGAUUGAUAAUAGAGAGAUACAAGAAUAGAUUGAUGUGUAAUAUGGAGUAAUUUGGUCCUCAACUGCAUUUCCAUUUUUAGAUCAGAGAGUCUUUAAAGUCUGUUUCCAGUAAACUUGGUGGAAGGAUGGGACGUGGGCCAAGAGCGAACCCAUUCAAUUUUGGCGAACGGAUCCGAACAAAGGGGCAGACCCGGGAUUUUUGGGACUGUUGGGCCUUGGAGGAGGUGCGUGCUCCACUGAGUUCCCUUUCUUUUGACAAACAUCGCAGUCGUCCGUCUGUUCUCUCCGGAGGAGCCGGUGAAUCACAGCCGGAGACGAUGGACCUCGAGGCUGAGAACCACGAGACACGAAGUGAUCCCCCCUCGUCUCCCCAGAGGAGCAGCUUCAACUUACAAGGAUAUAUGGAAUAGGAAAAGUGAACAACAUAGCUGGAACCAGAUUUUUAUUUUUUAUUUUUUAUUUACCAGUCACAGAGUUGUAGCCCUCGCGGCAAAUGCAACAUGUCUCGUCUCAGCGUUGCAUUCUGGUCUAUGGAGGCAGCUGUCAGUGCGGAGGCUGUUAUCUCCGCUCCUCCCGUGAUGGAUCUCCCCCCGUAUUGCUGCUGAACGCCCAUGGAAGAAAAAAAACGUCUCGAGAGGAAGGCCUCUCUGCCUUUGAUUUGGCGGGGAAUGACACUGAAAACCUGACAUUUACAGCUGAUGUUUUAUAUGGUGCAAAGAUAUUUCUGCUGUCAAGGCUUCAUCUUUUUCGCUGCUCUUAAAAAAGUAUAUAUCUCGACGCUCGCAGUUCACAGAGAGUCUCCGUGACUGGCCUUGUUAUCCAAAAAAGGAAAUUGAAAUGAAAACAUUUACAAAACUCCUUCAGCCUUGGACGGUUUGGUGUUCGGAGAAGGUGUUCGAAUUGCAACCCCAUUUUACAUUUCAAGAAUAAAGUCGAAAUGUAGAGAAUAAAGUCGAAAUAGCCCUAAACGUCCGUGUUGUGGUUCCAGUUCAGUUCAGCUGUCACACGUCCACGUUAACUAACGUUAGCGAAGCUACGCUAGCUUCGCUAACUGCUCGCCUCUCAAAAUUCAUUAACGGUUGUUUGCGGUGAACGUUAUCGGGUCAGGACACACGUCGACGUUCACGUGCGAACACCCGUUGUCGCCGCAUCGUUUCUUCCCGAUUCAGCCUGUCAAUAAUCAUAUCGCAACUUUACAACUUGGUUAGCAGCUAGCGUUAGCUUAGAAAACUGUCUAACAGAACCUCAACAUCCAGUUGUUUGGUGCUGCUGAAAAGUGCUUCCUGGUCACAAUUUAUUGACUCCAUUCUCGAAAUAGUAUUUCAACCUCAUUGUCGACAUUUCAACUUUAUUCUCGAAAAAAAAUCGUCCCCUCGUGUUUCUUCUUCUUAUGUCGGGCCCUAAUGCCCUGUAAAAACUUUUUUUUCUCUCAAAACAAACAUUGAUUUCAUACGGACUUGUGGCUUCUACAGGUUCAUGUUCCACGGUUCCACAACCUCGUAGCUCGUGGUGAGUCGACCUGGGACGCGUACGGCAUCAUGGAUAAUAAUGGAAAUGUCAAUGGAGAAUAUGAAUAUGGGAUAUUCACCUCACUGUCGCUGUCGCCUCUCGAAGCGCUUUGAUGCGAACUCUGGUUUGUUGUGCGUCCCGCUGCAAUAACAUGACCCUUUAUUACAGGUUCGAUAAGGCGUUAAUGGCUGGUGUCGUCUCGCCGAGGGGGCCCACCCGCAGAUUGAUUCACUCCCGAGUCACCUCCCGCACUCCGCGCCGGAACAAAUUACCGAUGAGCCGAAUCUAUCCGACUGCCGAAAUGCCAUCGGCGGGGGGAAAAAUGAUACGUUAAACCAGAGAUGAUGUCCUGUUAUUACCGAGGUGCACUCGCUGUUUAUCAGAGCUGUGCAAUUAAACGGAUCAGCCGAGGUAGAUUACCAGCGGAGUAUGAAAUGGCAAGAUGGCAAGAACGCCUGCUCCAAGUGCUGCACUUUUUUUUUUCUUCCAUUAAAAAUCGUGGGUCAUAUGCCCAGAAAUUAAUUUGCCAGUGGUUUCUUUUUCCAGGGAGCUGUUGGCUCUCUGUGCAGAGGUCGGUGCUAUGGAUGAUGUUAAUACCUGUCUAGUUAUGACUCCAAGCACAACGCUGGUGAUUAUUCUGUAUUCAUAUUUUUUAUUUAUU